AUUUGAAUCACCUAAGGUAUCUUGUUAAAAUGCAGAUUCUAAUUCAGUAUUCUGAGGGAAGAAAUGAUAGUUGACAUUUCUAACAAGCUCCCAAGUGAUUCUGAU
rnacentral:miRNA from 1 species